rnacentral:rRNA from 10 species
GUCUAUAGCCAUACCAUUCUGAACACGCCAAUCUCAUAUGAUCUCAGAAGAUAAGCAGGGUCAGGCCUGGUUCAUACUCAGAUGGGAAGAAUAAACC